rnacentral:rRNA from 1 species
AUGUGAACCAUACCAAACUGUUGCCUCGGCGGGGUCACGCCCCGGGUGCGUCGCAGCCCCGGAACCAGGCGCCCGCCGGAGGGACCAACCAAACUCUUUUCUGUAGUCCCCUCGCGGACGUUAUUUCUUACAGCUCUGAGCAAAAAUUCAAAAUGAAUCAAAACUUUCAACAACGGAUCUCUUGGUUCUGGCAUCGAUGAAGAACGCAGCGAAAUGCGAUAAGUAAUGUGAAUUGCAGAAUUCAGUGAAUCAUCGAAUCUUUGAACGCACAUUGCGCCCGCCAGUAUUCUGGCGGGCAUGCCUGUCCGAGCGUCAUUUCAACCCUCGAACCCCUCCGGGGGGUCGGCGUUGGGGACCUCGGGAGCCCCUAAGACGGGAUCCCGGCCCCGAAAUACAGUGGCGGUCUCGCCGCAGCCUCUCCUGCGCAGUAGUUUGCACAACUCGCACCGGGAGCGCGGCGCGUCCACGUCCGUAAAACACCCAACUUCUGAAAUGUUGACCUCGGAUCAGGUAGGAAUACCCGCUGAACUUAAGCAUAUCAAUAA